GGAUGCUGAAGAUGGGGGACGUGCAGCAAUAAUUACAGGAGGUGAAAAGAAAAUGUUAUUUUGCUUUUCUUCCUGAAGAAAUCAACAUUUUUUUUCUUUAAGCCAAAGAACCUUGACCCUUAAGAAAAUAUUAUGCUAUUUUUGUGGAUAAGGGUGUGGUCAAGAAUGUCCCAUAUAAGAGAUUUGCUGAGUGACCUUGUUGGCAGUGGUCAUCUUGGCUUUAAAUGAUGCAGCUUCUAAACACAGUCGAAGUGAGAGUUCCGUGUUCUCCAAGGAGAUACCGGCUGCAGCGUUCAUAGACACGGCAAGCCCUCCUGCUUUGUCUUUUUUCCCCAUCUCCUAUGGGUAGACAUGGGAACUAUAAAGGCUAUUCCGGAGAAGCCAAAGAAAUAUCUGAGUGAACUUAUGGGAGAGAGAUGAGGGAUGUUCCAAAGCCAUCCAGAAAGUAGAUGGAAAGGUAGUCACUGUGAUCCUCACCUCGUGGCGUGGACUAACAGGCUGGAUCAUGCCCCUUCCUGCUAUCCGGCACUAAAUUUCUUAGAAUAACAACAGGGAGCUGUGAAUGUUGGUUCCUCAAGCCACCCUUAGGGUCGAUGAUCUAGAAAAACUCCUGGGACUAAGAAAAAAAAUAUUCUAUUCAUGGUUAUGGUCUGUUAGAGCAAAAGAGGACAGAUUAAAUCAGUCAAGAGAAAAGACACCCAGGAGCAUGAGAUACAGUGACACACGACUGGAGAGCUGCCUGCUUUUCCUGCUGCCACCCAAUUAACCCUUUGUUCCCACCCGCUGUGCUCUGUGACAGCUGAUCUAAUGCUUCUGUCUGCUUGAGGAGAAUAAAUUGUCUAAGGUACUUGCAAAUGACGAAAGACUGGGAAAACAUCCUUCAUGAUGAGAAUCCAUUUAAAUGUCCAUUGAAAAGCAAAAAAUACCCAGACAGGCUGCUUCCUUCCUUGUCCAUCCCUGAGCACAAGUGCCAAAAAUUUGGAGGUGACUAAGAAGCAAACCUUACAGAAUUCACACCUAGAAGAAGAUGCUCAGGACAGAGGUCCAGGAUGAAGAUAUGAAUGCAAAGCCACUAGUGUGGGCAGGAAGAAGGAGAAUGAUGGGAAGAUGGAGAAGAUGCUGUCCAUGUCAUAGAGCGACCAGAGGGGAGAUGAAGGCUGGG